AUUGAACGCUGGCGGAAUGCUUUACACAUGCAUGUCGAACGGUAGAGGGGGCAACCCCUCGAGAGUGGCGAACGGGUGAGUAAUAAAUUGGAACGUGCGCAGUCGUGGGCGAUAACGAAGCGAUAGUUAUGCUAAUACUGCUUACUAUCUAGGGAGGAAAGCGGAGGAUCGCUAGACCUCGCGCGAGUGGACCGGCCGAUAGCAGAGUAGGUAGUUGGUGGGGUAAAGGCUCACCAAGGCAACGAUCUGUAGCUGGUCGGAGAGGACGACCAGCCGGACUGGAAGUGAGACACGGUACAGACGCCUACGGGAGGCAGCAGUGGGGAAUUUUGGACAAUGGACGCAAGUCUGAUCCAGCCAUUCCGCGUGCAGGAUGAAGGCCCUCGGGUUGUAAACUGCUUUUGUACGGAACGAAAAGGUCUCUCUUAAUACGGGGGACUCAUGACGGUACCGUAAGAAUAAGCACCGGCUAACUACGUGCCAGCCGCCGCAGUAA
rnacentral:rRNA from 1 species